rnacentral:rRNA from 1 species
GGUUAAGCGACUAAGCGUACACGGUGGAUGCCCUGGCAGUCAGAGGCGAUGAAGGACGUGCUAAUCUGCGAUAAGCGUCGGUAAGGUGAUAUGAACCGUUAUAACCGGCGAUUUCCGAAUGGGGAAACCCAGUGUGAUUCGUCACACUAUCAUUAACUGAAUCCAUAGGUUAAUGAGGCGAACCGGGGGAACUGAAACAUCUAAGUACCCCGAGGAAAAGAAAUCAACCGAGAUUCCCCCAGUAGCGGCGAGCGAACGGGGAGCAGCCCAGAGCCUGAAUCAGUGUGUGUGUUAGUGGAAGCGUCUGGAAAGGCGUGCGAUACAGGGUGACAGCCCCGUACACAAAAAUGCACAUACUGUGAGCUCGAUGAGUAGGGCGGGACACGUGGUAUCCUGUCUGAAUAUGGGGGGACCAUCCUCCAAGGCUAAAUACUCCUGACUGACCGAUAGUGAACCAGUACCGUGAGGGAAAGGCGAAAAGAACCCCGGCGAGGGGAGUGAAAAAGAACCUGAAACCGUGUACGUACAAGCAGUGGGAGCACGCUUAGGCGUGUGACUGCGUACCUUUUGUAUAAUGGGUCAGCGACUUAUAUUCUGUAGCAAGGUUAACCGAAUAGGGGAGCCGAAGGGAAACCGAGUCUUAACUGGGCGUUAAGUUGCAGGGUAUAGACCCGAAACCCGGUGAUCUAGCCAUGGGCAGGUUGAAGGUUGGGUAACACUAACUGGAGGACCGAACCGACUAAUGUUGAAAAAUUAGCGGAUGACUUGUGGCUGGGGGUGAAAGGCCAAUCAAACCGGGAGAUAGCUGGUUCUCCCCGAAAGCUAUUUAGGUAGCGCCUCGUGAAUUCAUCUCCGGGGGUAGAGCACUGUUUCGGCAAGGGGGUCAUCCCGACUUACCAACCCGAUGCAAACUGCGAAUACCGGAGAAUGUUAUCACGGGAGACACACGGCGGGUGCUAACGUCCGUCGUGAAGAGGGAAACAACCCAGACCGCCAGCUAAGGUCCCAAAGUCAUGGUUAAGUGGGAAACGAUGUGGGAAGGCCCAGACAGCCAGGAUGUUGGCUUAGAAGCAGCCAUCAUUUAAAGAAAGCGUAAUAGCUCACUGGUCGAGUCGGCCUGCGCGGAAGAUGUAACGGGGCUAAACCAUGCACCGAAGCUGCGGCAGCGACGCUUAUGCGUUGUUGGGUAGGGGAGCGUUCUGUAAGCCUGUGAAGGUGUGCUGUGAGGUAUGCUGGAGGUAUCAGAAGUGCGAAUGCUGACAUAAGUAACGAUAAAGCGGGUGAAAAGCCCGCUCGCCGGAAGACCAAGGGUUCCUGUCCAACGUUAAUCGGGGCAGGGUGAGUCGACCCCUAAGGCGAGGCCGAAAGGCGUAGUCGAUGGGAAACAGGUUAAUAUUCCUGUACUUGGUGUUACUGCGAAGGGGGGACGGAGAAGGCUAUGUUGGCCGGGCGACGGUUGUCCCGGUUUAAGCGUGUAGGCUGGUUUUCCAGGCAAAUCCGGAAAAUCAAGGCCGAGGCGUGAUGACGAGGCACUACGGUGCUGAAGCAACAAAUGCCCUGCUUCCAGGAAAAGCCUCUAAGCAUCAGGUAACAUCAAAUCGUACCCCAAACCGACACAGGUGGUCAGGUAGAGAAUACCAAGGCGCUUGAGAGAACUCGGGUGAAGGAACUAGGCAAAAUGGUGCCGUAACUUCGGGAGAAGGCACGCUGAUACGUAGGUGAAGCGACUUGCUCGUGGAGCUGAAAUCAGUCGAAGAUACCAGCUGGCUGCAACUGUUUAUUAAAAACACAGCACUGUGCAAACACGAAAGUGGACGUAUACGGUGUGACGCCUGCCCGGUGCCGGAAGGUUAAUUGAUGGGGUUAGCGCAAGCGAAGCUCUUGAUCGAAGCCCCGGUAAACGGCGGCCGUAACUAUAACGGUCCUAAGGUAGCGAAAUUCCUUGUCGGGUAAGUUCCGACCUGCACGAAUGGCGUAAUGAUGGCCAGGCUGUCUCCACCCGAGACUCAGUGAAAUUGAA